rnacentral:rRNA from 1 species
GCGGUAAUACAGAAAAUGCAAGCGUUAUUCGCAUUUAUUGGGCAUAAAGCAUCCUUAGAUGGUUUAUUAUAUUAUUUUAAAAAUUUAAAAAUAAUAUUUUUAAACAUUAAUAUUAAGAUUAAUAAACUUAGAGGGUAAAAUAAGUUUAAGGAAUUUUUUGAGUAAUGGUGAAAUAUGAUUUCUAUACAUUAAAGAAGGCCAAAAAUGAAAGUAUUAAACUGGUUUAUUUCUGACAUUGGAGGAUGAAAGCUAAAGUAGCGAAUGGGAUUAGAUACCCCAGUAGUUUUAGCCGUAAAUUAUGAAUAUUAAAAUUUAGAAAUAAUAUUUUUAAAUUUAAAGUUAAUACGUUAAAUAUUCCGCCUGAAGAGUACACUCGCAAGAGUCAAAUUCAAAGGAACUGACGGGAACUUAUACAAGUGAUGAGCUAUGUUGUUUAAUUUGAUGCAGCCCAAAAAAUCUUACCAAUAUUUAACAUAAUUUAAAAUAAAUUUUUAUUAAAAUAAAAAUGUUAAUUAAUCUUAAGGUGGUGCAUGGCUGUCGUCAGUUCGUGCU